rnacentral:lncRNA from 1 species
UGCCGUUUUGAGUGUGUUUGUGUGGCAUGGGGGUUGGGGUUGGGAAAUAUAUAGCAUUUGCCAUCUGCUAGAGGAGCAAAGAUUUGCAGAGUGGAAAAGAGGAGGUGCGAGGAGGUAGAACUGCAGAAACUUGCUUCCCCAGAAGUUCAUGUAUAGGAAAGCCAAGUUAAUGCCACAUAUUUGGAAAAGGUGAUCCCCUAUGUAUAGUUUUCUCUGAUAGGUUUUUUAAAAACCCAGACAAAGUGGAAAUGUCUGACUAUGAAAACUUGGUGAUCUCUACAAUAUAAGGAUUUCACUUCCCUUUGAGGAGGAAGGGAAUGAUUUUAUAACCUCAGACUUCUCUGACUUAACAAAUAGGGACUUAGUAUCAAAUAUGUCUGGUAAAUGCUGAUGUUCUACCUCUCUAAUGCCCAUAGGAAUAUGGAAAGAGAAAUUCUGCUGUGAGAAAUUCAUAGAACUACCUGGCAGAAAAGGAAGGGUGAUAUUGCCUCCCAGGGAACAUUUGGCAACGUCUGAAGAUAUUUUUCACUGUCACAACCGAGGGGGUAUGCUAUUGGCAUCCAGUAGGUAGAGGUCAAGGAUGCUGAUAAGCAUCUACAAUGUCCCAAACAGUCCCUACAACAAAAAAUUAUCUGGCCCCAAAUAUGAAUAGUGCCAAGGUUGGGAAACCCUUCUUCAUACCUAUUCACAAUCCAUGGAACACUUUAUGUACUGCUGUCUUAGUCCCUAAUCAGAAAUUAUCAGGUAAAAUGCUCACUAGAAUUAAUCCUACUUCCAGAAGAGUUCUCAAAAGAGAAACCUAUAUACUCAACUCUGAUGCUCAAGUCUGACCAAUCCCUAGAUACUGCUGACCUAUUCAUAUAUUCAUAUUCUAUCACUGAUAUGGGAAGCUCUGUUUGAAACAUAAACUUAAAAAGGAAUCUCUAUAUAUGAACUAUCAGUGCUAUCAGACAAUGCUAACAUUAUGAACAUGAUGAGGAUAUAACCCUUGUUUUCUUAGAAAUGCCCACCCACAUUUAUGCUGUUUUUAGUUUAUUACUCUUGUCAAAGUUGCCAUGCAGAAUGUCUGUUGGUCAGUUGGGCACAUCUGCACACAUUUACAAUAUCUGCCACCUCUUUUAACCCUCAACCCCGCCCCACAAAAUGAGUGAUGGUGCUUGUUGAUUUGCAGAUUCACAGUCUGGUGAGACAAGUUUGAGAUCUCAUAUUUUCAGCUCAUCCUUGAAAACCUUUCUUCGAUUUGACUGACCUUGAUGGCUCCCUGGAAUCUCACCUACAUUUUAUGGGAAAUUCAACUCUCCAGAGAGAAGAGCUUUCAGAUAGCUGCGGGACUUGCAACUGUGACUUUCAGCUUUCGCUUUUGAAUGAGGCUCCAAAUGUCUCAAUGGUGGCACUAUUUCCAGAUUUGGGACAUUAAGUUUUGCAAAAUUAAAUGACUACAUUUACAGUCAUGGAGGAGAGACAUUGCCUCAACUCGGUUUCUUCUGAUGUGUCUUUGAAACAGAGCCCUGCAAAGCUAAUCUGCUCAACCUUCACCUACUGGGUUCAAUGAAUAUGAAAAGCUGCCUUCCUGAAACUUUUCCUUCAAAGAGGGAAUGAUCUCCUGGAAUUCAAGCUUCUACAAGGUGGCUACCUGGUGUUUUCCACUUUUGCCGUCUCCUAAAAAGCAUCAUUCAAGCCUUGCCCUUUCAACCCACUGAACACAUAAACAUGCUUUCUCCUUAACUGAACUUAUGGCCACGAUGAACUUGAACUCUGAGAUUCACAGAGGAGAGUUUGUUUUAACAGCUGCUUUUACAAUGAAGCCCUGGAGUUACUACUCUCAAGACCCCUGGUUCUGAUAGGCCAUCUUUUCACUGUCCUCUGCAUUUUCUAAUGCCCAGCUGUCAAGGAACACCCACUGAAGUUUUCCAAAACAAAGGCACGAAACACAAGAAAGGCAAGAGAAUGCUAAUCACCAGAUGCAUGGGCAUCCUAUGGGGGAACCCCUUACAUGUGGAAUACGGUUUUUCUCCCCA